rnacentral:snRNA from 1 species
AGCUUUGCUCAGUGGCAGUAUCAUAGCCAAUGAGGUUUAUCCAAAGUACGAUUCUUGCUAAUUGGAAAAAAAGAGAAAGAAAUCUUUCAUGGUCCAGUGUCCUGAAACAUUUUAUUUAACUUUUCUUCUAAUAGCUUUAUAGUU